CGAAGCUUCUCCGGCGUCCCU
rnacentral:siRNA from 1 species